AUUCAGCUGACGAGUCCCGAAUAGAACGAAACAUACGUCCUGGAU
rnacentral:hammerhead_ribozyme from 1 species